UACGGGGGGGGCAAGCGUUGUUCGGAAUUACUGGGCGUAAAGGGCUCGUAGGUGGCCAACUAAGUCAGACGUGAAAUCCCUCGGCUUAACCGGGGAACUGCGUCUGAUACUGGAUGGCUUGAGUUCGGGAGAGGGAUGCGGAAUUCCAGGUGUAGCGGUGAAAUGCGUAGAUAUCUGGAGGAACACCGGUGGCGAAGGCGGCAUCCAGGACCGAUACUGACGCUGAGGAGCGAAAGCCAGGGGAGCAAACGGG
rnacentral:rRNA from 1 species